rnacentral:rRNA from 1 species
GCAAGUCGAACGAUGAAGCCCAGCUUGCUGGGUGGAUUAGUGGCGAACGGGUGAGUAACACGUGAGUAACCUGCCCUUAACUCUGGGAUAAGCCUGGGAAACUGGGUCUAAUACCGGAUAGGAGCGUCCACCGCAUGGUGGGUGUUGGAAAGAUUUAUCGGUUUUGGAUGGACUCGCGGCCUAUCAGCUUGUUGGUGAGGUAAUGGCUCACCAAGGCGACGACGGGUAGCCGGCCUGAGAGGGUGACCGGCCACACUGGGACUGAGACACGGCCCAGACUCCUACGGGAGGCAGCAGUGGGGAAUAUUGCACAAUGGGCGCAAGCCUGAUGCAGCGACGCCGCGUGAGGGAUGACGGCCUUCGGGUUGUAAACCUCUUUCAGUAGGGAAGAAGCGAAAGUGACGGUACCUGCAGAAGAAGCACCGGCUAACUACGUGCCAGCAGCCGCGGUAAUACGUAGGGUGCGAGCGUUAUCCGGAAUUAUUGGGCGUAAAGAGCUCGUAGGCGGUUUGUCGCGUCUGUCGUGAAAGUCCGGGGCUUAACCCCGGAUCUGCGGUGGGUACGGGCAGACUAGAGUGCAGUAGGGGAGACUGGAAUUCCUGGUGUAGCGGUGGAAUGCGCAGAUAUCAGGAGGAACACCGAUGGCGAAGGCAGGUCUCUGGGCUGUAACUGACGCUGAGGAGCGAAAGCAUGGGGAGCGAACAGGAUUAGAUACCCUGGUAGUCCAUGCCGUAAACGUUGGGCACUAGGUGUGGGGACCAUUCCACGGUUUCCGCGCCGCAGCUAACGCAUUAAGUGCCCCGCCUGGGGAGUACGGCCGCAAGGCUAAAACUCAAAGGAAUUGACGGGGGCCCGCACAAGCGGCGGAGCAUGCGGAUUAAUUCGAUGCAACGCGAAGAACCUUACCAAGGCUUGACAUGUUCUCGAUCGCCGUAGAGAUACGGUUUCCCCUUUGGGGCGGGUUCACAGGUGGUGCAUGGUUGUCGUCAGCUCGUGUCGUGAGAUGUUGGGUUAAGUCCCGCAACGAGCGCAACCCUCGUUCCAUGUUGCCAGCACGUCGUGGUGGGGACUCAUGGGAGACUGCCGGGGUCAACUCGGAGGAAGGUGAGGACGACGUCAAAUCAUCAUGCCCCUUAUGUCUUGGGCUUCACGCAUGCUACAAUGGCCGGUACAAUGGGUUGCGAUACUGUGAGGUGGAGCUAAUCCCAAAAAGCCGGUCUCAGUUCGGAUUGGGGUCUGCAACUCGACCCCAUGAAGUCGGAGUCGCUAGUAAUCGCAGAUC